UUGGAUCCUGCUGUCCAUCUGUAGGGCUUGGAUGCUUAACACCUGUCCAGGUGUCAGCUAAGGAAUAGUAUUUUGGAGUGUUAUGAGGUUUGUCUUCAUAGUGUCAGUAGCUGGCAUUGGGUAUUGUCCUUGUCAUGUCAGACUGCAACUUGUUCAGGUGUCGGCUUGGACUCUUGUGUCCCGGUCCGGGGGAAGGAUGGAUAGGUUGCGUCUGGGUCCGGGAUCAUCUCCGGGGUCCGAGAUCAUCUCCAAGGUCCGGGAUCGUCUCCUGGUUCUGAGAUCAUCUCCUGGGUCCGGGACCAUAUCCGGGUCAUAUCGUGCUCGGGUCCGGAUUAAGCCAAUCCAGAGUCCGGGUUAAGCCAAUCCUUUUCAUGUUAGAAUGUGGCUUGUUCAGGUGUCGGCUUGGACUCUUGUGUCCCGGUCCGGGAGAAGAGUGGAUAGGUUGUGUUUGGGUCCGGGACCAUCUCCUGGGUCCGGGAUCGUCUCCUGGGUCCGGGAUCAUCUCCGGGUCAUAUCGUGUUCGGGUCCGGAUUAAGCCAAUCCAGGGUCCAGAUUAAGCCAAUCCGGGUUAUACCCUAUCAUUUGCCCCCCACUCCCUUAUACAGAUUUUCUGUGUGAGGGAGUUGAGUGUAUUGUCCGGUGCGGGCUGAUUGCGGAGAAGGUGGAGUUUUUCAUUUGCCCCCCUGUCCGGGCUAACCUGGACAAGGUGGAAUUUUUGCUUUUGCGCCUCUAUCCCGGUUAAUCCGGUAUUAGGCGAAGAAUCCUGCUUUUGCUCCUCUGCCCGGGUUGACCCGGACUAGGUGUGAAAUCUUGCUCACCUAUCCAGGUGGAUCCAGACAUGGUGUGAAAUUUUGCUUUUGCCCCCCUGUCCGGACCGAUCUGGACGAAGUGGUGGGAUUCUGCUUUUUGCCCCCCGUCUGGGUUGAUCAGGGUAGGAUGUGAGAUUUUGCUUUUUGUCCCUCGGCCUGGGUUGAUCCGGACAAGAGGUUGAUAACGCCAAAUCCCGUUCCGGUGCUUCCUCCGCCGUGUACUGGUGUCUUGCGGUGUAGCUGCUGGACGGGUGUCUGCAAAACAACACCGGAGGGGGGUUUGAGCCCCGCGGCGCCUCCGGCGUGAGAAUGAGUACAGGCGUCGGAAAAUAUAUAGACGAGAAAUGAGUUAUCUAUAUAUGUGGUGGGUGAAGAUGUAUGGCUGCUGUGUAUGGUGGCUUAGAGUGUGUGAGAAAUAUGAGAGUGUGGAGAAGAAGAUCCUUAAGCCUCUCAUCCUUGGUCUAUUUAUAGGCCAAGGAUUAGGGUUUAAGGAUGUGUACCUUGGAUCCUGCUGUCCAUCUGUAGGGCUUGGAUGCUUAACACCUGUCCAGGUGUCAGCUAAGGAAUAGUAUUUUGGAGUGUUAUGAGGUUUGUCUUCAUAGUGUCAGUAGCUGGCAUUGGGUAUUGUCCUUGUCAUGUCAGACUGCAACUUGUUCAGGUGUCGGCUUGGACUCUUGUGUCCCGGUCCGGGGGAAGGAUGGAUAGGUUGCGUCUGGGUCCGGGAUCAUCUCCGGGGUCCGAGAUCAUCUCCAAGGUCCGGGAUCGUCUCCUGGUUCUGAGAUCAUCUCCUGGGUCCGGGACCAUAUCCGGGUCAUAUCGUGCUCGGGUCCGGAUUAAGCCAAUCCAGAGUCCGGGUUAAGCCAAUCCUUUUCAUGUUAGAAUGUGGCUUGUUCAGGUGUCGGCUUGGACUCUUGUGUCCCGGUCCGGGAGAAGAGUGGAUAGGUUGUGUUUGGGUCCGGGACCAUCUCCUGGGUCCGGGAUCGUCUCCUGGGUCCGGGAUCGUCUCCUGGGUCCGGGAUCAUCUCCGGGUCAUAUCGUGCUCGGGUCCGGAUUUAAGCCAAUCCAGGAUCCAGAUUAAGCCAAUCCGGGUUAUACCCUAUCAUA
rnacentral:lncRNA from 1 species